UGGUGGAGUGAUUCGUCUGGUUAAUUCCGUUAACGAACGAGACCUUAGCCUGCUAAAUAGCCACAAGGAAGUUAAGAUCUUUGUCAGGCUUCUUAGAGGGACUUUGUGUUUUCAGCACAAGGAAGUUUGAGGCAAUAACA
rnacentral:rRNA from 1 species